AGGGGUGGUUUGCAGGUGAUGGAGGGAUGGUUCAGAAGCUUUGUUUUGGAAGAGGUGAAGGAGGGUUGCAGGUGAAACUGGAACUGGAACAAGGAACCUGAGGAAGAAGAUGAGACUGGAACAUGAAGAUCUCCCUGGUUGGUUCUGAUUUGGGGAUUUUGAUUUGGGGUUAGUUAGAUUUGGGUAAUUAAGUUAGGGUUAGGAUUAGAAAUAGUUAAUUUAUGUUAAUUAAACCUUAUUUUUUAUUUUUUUAUUUUUUUUAGUGCCAUGUCAUCUUUAUUUACACAGUCAGCACGCUACAUCAUCACUCGCCGGAGCUCGGAGCUCCGGCGAGGACUGGCUCCAUACGUUUUUAAAAUAGAGGGUUUUAAUCCACAAAUUUUUCCGGUUAGGGACCUGGUUCAGACGGCGACACAAAGACAUGGACUAGUAUGAGGAUUAAGCCUAUAAUUCUCCAUCGUAGGAAAUAAGGACUAAUCACGUGUCAUUAAAACUAUGUUUUCUUCCAUGUUUUGCCAAUAGGAAUUUAACACCUCAAAUAAAAUUUCCACGUCAGAACCACACACACUCCUAACUCCUUCCGUGUAAAAAAUGCUUGUGUCCAAUUUAGUUGAGAUGGCAAAAUUAUAUAUGAUGGGUGGGACAGGGUACUAGAAGGAAAGAGGCGGACAUUUUGCAGCGGUUCCACAAAAACCGCCGCAAAGUGUAACACUGAGGCGAUUAUGGAUUCCGCUGCAGGUCUCGUGCAACAAGAGGCAGCCUGUUUAGAACUAAAGGCGGUUCCUAUGCUAGCUACUUGAGUUUUCUAUUUCACGGCAGCUAGAAUUUAUUGGAUAAUGAACUUGAAAAAAACUGUUCUGAAGAGGCUUUCAUGUUGAAGUUUUUGGGGAAGAUCGUCUAGGAUUCAUUGCGAGGCAGUAGAGCAAUGCAAGAUUUCAAGUUUGAGGCAACUGAUGGUUUUACCAAAAUUCUUGGGAUUGAUUUUGAUGAAACCUUUAGCCCAGGGUCAAACACACUACUGCCUUGAUAUUUCUCAAUCCCUCUUUUCAAAUUUGAAUAUAUGGCUACUUGAUGUAAAAAUGUCUUUCUGCAUGGAAACCUAAACGAGACUAUUUAUAUGGAGGAACCACAACCUUUAGGAUUUGUGAAUCCUAAAACCUCACCAUGCCUUUCCUCGUUCAUGAUUUGAUCGUCUAUCCAAGUUCUUACUUCAUCUUGGUUUUCUUUACAGUAAAGCAGAAUUAAUAUUCUUCAUUAUUAUUUCUUAAAACAAGUUCUGUGACCACAUUGCUUUUAAUCUAUGUUGAUGAUAUUUUAAUUGCAGGUAACAAUGAUUCCACCAUUACAACUUUCCUUUGGUAGCUUAGUCAUGACUUUGCCAUUAAAGACCUUUGUGCUUUGCAUUACUUCUUGGGAAUAAAGUUUAAUCGUUUCAAGGGUGGUCUUUCCUCAUAAAGUUUUUUAGAGAUUUUGGGAAUAAAGUUUAUUCGUUUCAGUUCAAUAUUUUACUUAUCACUUAUGUUUGUCAAUCGUGCAUCUCAACACAUAAGAAAAUCAACUAUGACAGAUUUAAAAGUUGGUGAGCGCACCUUGCUCAAUCUAAAAGACACAUAACCUUAGAGACCCCAUUAUCUCUCUAACACUCAACCUUCUUGUAUGGUUUUAGUGACUUCGACUAGGCCGGUUGCCUUGUCACUAGACGAAGUACUACAUACUAUUGCAUCUUUCUUGGUGCUAAUUUCAUCUCUUGUCCUCUAAGGAGCAAACAAUGUUGCUUGCUCAAUGGUAGGUAAGAACUAUUUUUUCAAUAAAAUAAAAUAUUACAGUGUGGUUCACGCAA